UACGGAGGGGGCUAGCGUUGUUCGGAAUUACUGGGCGUAAAGCGCACGUAGGCGGCUUUGUAAGUUAGAGGUGAAAGCCCAGGGCUUAACCCUGGAAUUGCCUUUAAGACUGCAUCGCUAGAAUUGUGGAGAGGUAAGUGGAAUUCCGAGUGUAGAGGUGAAAUUCGUAGAUAUUCGGAAGAACACAGUGGCGAAGGCGACUUACUGGACACAUAUUGACGCUGAGGUGCGAAAGCGUGGGGAGCAAACAGG
rnacentral:rRNA from 1 species